UACGUAGGGGGCAAGCGUUUGUCCGGAUUUAUUGGGCGUAAAGAGCGUGUAGGCGGUUCGGUAGGUCCGUUGUGAAAACUCGAGGCUCAACCUCGAGACGCCGAUGGAAACCAUCGAACUAGAGUCCGGAAGAGGAGAGUGGAAUUCCUGGUGUAGCGGUGAAAUGCGCAGAUAUCGUGAGGAACACCAGAGGCGAAGGCGGUUACCUGGACAGUUACUGACGCUCAGGCACGAAAGCAUGGGGAGCAAAAGGG
rnacentral:rRNA from 1 species